UAAUAAGUGUUUUACGGCACUUUUUAAAUCCAUAUCCACCUUGUGUGCAAUGUCAGUCGAUCUUCUUCAUGGAGAUCGACCAAACAUCAACCUUUAUCUUUUAACUCUUUGUCUGAAAAAUAUUAUGAAUAAACAAUUCAAAAUA
rnacentral:misc_RNA from 1 species